UUUACGACAGCGCGCCGGCUUCCGCGCCGGUGAGCGGGGCGGGAGGUCGGGUCGGCAGGUCAGGGCCCGGCUGGAGCUGAGGUGACCCGCCCGCGGCCGGGACGCGGAGAUGCUCCACACCAAUAAGAAGGAAAGUUGUGGUACAUUCAUACAAUACGAUACUAGAUGGACAACAAUGAAAAAGAACAAAGUUCCGCGACAAGAAAGGACAUGGAGCAGACGAUACCGUGGAAUGGGCUGUAGCUUGUGUAUGGCAAAGUCCACAAAAUCGUAACACAUGGAACCUCUUUCUGGAUGCUUGAUGGGCCCCAGAUAACCACAGUUGAUGUGUGUCGUGGUUUUGGGGGGACUGUUGGUAGGGUGUUGUCCAGGGAUCCUAACUCGGUGCAGAUGGAUAGCCUUGCGGAUGGACUUCAGCCUACAGACGUGCUGACAGGACCCUUCAGGCUGCCCAGACAUGUUUCUGAGUGUGGACUGAUCCUAACUACGUCUACCGGUUUCUGAGACACAGAGCUGGCUGCCAUUUUGUCAGCUGUACUGGUGCUGGGGAGAGACAAAGAAUGAGUAUUCUACUUAGGGCAUUCCUUCUCUUAGCUGCCGUUUGAAGAUACUUGAUGAGCAUUACAUCCAAAUAGGUAAGUGAGUAUAAUUACUAGACUCUGGGAAGACAGGGAAAUGUCGAUCUUCCACCGAGCACACUCACUAAUGGAACCCUUCUGAGCCGCAUAGACAAGUUCCCUUUCUGAACCCUGCUUCCUGGGCUGAUGUUUUCAUAUGGUCUCUCUGUGCCUUAAAGGCACUGGCUGGGCUGUAGCCUGGCUGCCAUUCCUUACCACCGGGAAAAGUUCCGUGUGAUGUGUGGAUACAUUUGGCCAGCUCUCAGUCCUUCUAGGCUCAUCCCUCUACUGCAGUCUAUAUUUUCAGUUUUGAUAGUUAUACCGAAGGUCUCAUCCCUUUUGCAAAGCAAGACCCCAAAAAAGCUAGGUCCUCCCCUGUGGGAACUGCCAGGGUGACUGAGUGCAGUGAACCGAUUGUGCAUUGCACGGCCGCAGGAAGUGCCACUCACAUGGACGCCAGACGACCUGCUCAGCUGGACGUGGUGGCCCAGUGACCCUUGUUCACCUGCUGUGUCCCUGCUUGAAUCUCAUGUUACCUGAUAUUCUUGGUUUGCUUUUGUCCCUGGGAAUAGUCUACCUUGGACACAUGACUAGCUAGGAGUUGAACUUCAGUGUUGUCUCUAGUCUCCCCCUACUGAUGUGGUUUUUUUCAGGGAAUACAGGGUUCCUCAUCUUGUGUGAUGAGCAUGACUUCUUACCUUUCUCUGGAUUGCAGUGCAUCUCUUCUCCCUCUUUCACAGAGAACAUGUUUCAUCUGUAUCCUCUUCCAUAGUUCUGCCUACUCCUCCCUGCUGGCUUUUCCCUUCUGCAUAUUAGAGUGUAUCCGACUUAAUGGUCAGCACCCCCUUCCUCUGAGUUUUGCCCAUCUAGCUGUUUCCAGUAUAACUCAGUGAGAGCCUAGGAGGUCUUAUCCACUCCCGUGGCUCCACGGUCACUGUUAAAGUUAUGGCUUUCCUAACUUCCUGUUCUCUGAAUGG